CCUACGGGUGGCAGCAGUGGGGAAUAUUGGACAAUGGGCGAAAGCCUGAUCCAGCCAUGCCGCGUGUGUGAAGAAGGCCUUCGGGUUGUAAAGCACUUUCAGUGGGGAAGAAAGCCUUGGGGCUAAUACCCUCGAGGAAGGACAUCACCCACAGAAGAAGCACCGGCUAACUCCGUGCCAGCAGCCGCGGUAAUACGGAGGGUGCGAGCGUUAAUCGGAAUUACUGGGCGUAAAGCGCGCGUAGGCGGUCUGAUAAGCCGGUUGUGAAAGCCCCGGGCUCAACCUGGGAACGGCAUCCGGAACUGUCAGGCUAGAGUGCAGGAGAGGAAGGUAGAAUUCCCGGUGUAGCGGUGAAUGCGUAGAGAUCGGGAGGAAUACCAGUGGCGAAGGCGGCCUUCUGGACUGACACUGACGCUGAGGUGCGAAAGCGUGGGUAGCAAACAGGAUUAGAUACCCCAGUAGUC
rnacentral:rRNA from 1 species